AUGUCUGAGUUUGAGGCUUGCCAGACACAAGGAUGGCCUGGAUUAUGUCACCAAUAUUAUGUGUGGGCCCAGAAUAGGAGUCACGAGUGCUGUAAAGAUGAGGUAGAAGUAGGCUGUAGAAGUAACAGAGUUUCUGGUCAAAUCAGUAAAUCCAGUCCCCAAGCUCACACAAGCCCACCAAGCUGGGACCAAUGUCCCUGUGGGGGAACCAACCGUGCUGGCGCCAGUGCCCUGUGGAAGAACCAUCCACGCUGGGGCCAAGGUCUCUAUGGGGGAACCAACCAUGCUGGGGCCAAGGUCUCUAUGGGGGAACCAACCAUGCUGGGGCCAAUGUCCCUGUGGGGGAACCAACCACGUGGGGGCCAAUGUCCCUGUGGGGGAACCAACCACGCUGGGGCCAGUGCCCUGUGGGGGAACCAACCACGCUGGGGCCAAUGUCCCUGUGGGGGAACCAACCACGCUGGGGCCAAUGUCCCUGUGGGGGAACCAACCACGCUGGGGCCAGUGCCCUGUGGGGGAACCAACCACGCUGGGGCCAAUGUCCCUGUGGGGGAACCAACCACGCUGGGGCCAGUGCCCUGUGGGGGAACCAACCACGCUGGGGCCAAUGUCCCUGUGGGGGAACCAACCACGCUGGGGCCAGUGCCCUGUGGGGGAACCAACCACGCGGGGGCCAGUGUCCCUGUGGGGGAACCAAUCACACUGGGGCCAAUGUCCCUGUGGGGGAACCAACCACGCGGGGGCCAAUGUCCCUGUGGGGGAACCAACCAUCCUGGGGCCGGGUGCCCUGUGGAGGAACCAACUAAGCCAGGGCCAAUGUCCCUGUGGAGGAACUCUACCCAGCUUUUCAGAGAAGUGUCUGGGGAUUCUAGAACACUGGGACUCUCUGUCUCUGUCUCUGUCUCUGUCUCUCUCUGUCUCUGUCUCUCUCUGUCUCUCUCUCUCUCUCUCUCUCUCUCCUCUGUCUCUGUCUCUGUCUCUGUCUCUCUCUCUCUCUCUCUCUCUGUGUGUGUGUGUGUGUGUGAAGGGAGGAACAUUGUUUUUUCUGUCUAG
rnacentral:lncRNA from 1 species